rnacentral:rRNA from 1 species
AUUCCAGCUCCAAUAGCGUAUAUUAAAGUUGUUGCGGUUAAAAAGCUCGUAGUUGGAUUUCUGUCGAGGCACGCGGGUCCAUACCAUGUAUGUGUAUCUAGCUCGCCUUGGCAUCCGGGCGUCGGGUCGGUCGUGCUUCAUUGCGUGGCCGGCAUAGCGCCUCUUUUACUUUGAGGAAAUUAGAGUGUUCAAAGCAGGCAAUCGCAUUGAAUACAUUAGCAUGGAAUAAUAAGAUAAGGCCUUGGCCCUAUUUUGUUGGUUUCUAGAGCUGAGGCAAUGGUUAAUAGGGACAGUUGGGGGCAUUCGUAUUGCCACGUCAGAGGUGAAAUUCUUGGAUUGUGGUACGACGAACUACUGCGAAAGCAUUUGCCAAGGAUGUUUUCAUCG